rnacentral:rRNA from 1 species
UGGGGAAUUUUGGACAAUGGGGGAAACCCUGAUCCAGCCAUCCCGCGUGUGCGAUGAAGGCCUUCGGGUUGUAAAGCACUUUUGGCAGGAAAGAAACGUCGCGGGUUAAUACCCCGCGGAACUGACGGUACCUGCAGAAUAAGCACCGGCUAACUACGUGCCAGCAGCCGCGGUAAUACGUAGGGUGCAAGCGUUAAUCGGAAUUACUGGGCGUAAAGCGUGCGCAGGCGGUUCGGAAAGAAAGAUGUGAAAUCCCAGAGCUUAACUUUGGAACUGCAUUUUUAACUACCGGGCUAGAGUGUGUCAGAGGGAGGUGGAAUUCCGCGUGUAGAAGUGAAAUGCGUAGAUAUGCGGAGGAACACCGAUGGCGAAGGCAGCCUCCUGGGAUAACACUGACGCUCAGGCACGAAAGCGUGGGGAGCAAACA